AUUGAACGCUGGCGGCAUGCUUUACACAUGCAAGUCGAACGGUAACAGGCCUUCGGGUGCUGACGAGUGGCGAACGGGUGAGUAAUGCAUCGGAACGUACCCAGAGGUGGGGGAUAACGCAGCGAAAGCUGUGCUAAUACCGCAUGUGAUCUGAGGAUGAAAGCGGGGGACCGAGCAGCAAUGUUUGGCCUCGCGCCUUUGGAGCGGCCGAUGUCGGAUUAGCUAGUUGGUGGGGUAAAGGCCUACCAAGGCGACGAUCCGUAGCUGGUCUGAGAGGACGACCAGCCACACUGGGACUGAGACGCGGCACAGACUCCUACGGGAGGCAGCAGUGGGGAAUUUUGGACAAUGGGCGCAAGCCUGAUCCAGCAAUGCCGCGUGCGGGAAGAAGGCCUUCGGGUUGUAAACCGCUUUUGGCAGGAACGAAACGGUGUCCGCUAAUACCGGGCGCUAAUGACGGUACCUGCAGAAUAAGCACCGGCUAACUACGU
rnacentral:rRNA from 1 species